rnacentral:rRNA from 1 species
ACUCCUGCGGGAGGCAGCAGUGGGGAAUAUUGCACAAUGGGCGCAAGCCUGAUGCAGCCAUGCCGCGUGUAUGAAGAAGGCCUUCGGGUUGUAAAGUACUUUCAGCGGGGAGGAAGGCGAUAAGGUUAAUAACCUUGUCGAUUGACGUUACCCGCAGAAGAAGCACCGGCUAACUCCGUGCCAGCAGCCGCGGUAAUACGGAGGGUGCAAGCGUUAAUCGGAAUUACUGGGCGUAAAGCGCACGCAGGCGGUCUGUCAAGUCGGAUGUGAAAUCCCCGGGCUCAACCUGGGAACUGCAUUCGAAACUGGCAGGCUAGAGUCUUGUAGAGGGGGGUAGAAUUCCAGGUGUAGCGGUGAAAUGCGUAGAGAUCUGGAGGAAUACCGGUGGCGAAGGCGGCCCCCUGGACAAAGACUGACGCUCAGGUGCGAAAGCGUGGGGAGCAAACAGGAUUAGAUACCCCGGUAGUCCC